CCUUCCCGGUCCCAGGUAAAGAAUCCAGUCUGCUGCCUGCCACGGAAACCAUUGCCUGGACCAGACAUGAAGCGCUUAUGGCAGAUUUUUGUCCUGUGUGUAUUCUGGGGUUUCAUCUUGUGGCUGAUGGCCCCUUGCCUAGAUCGGAAACCUGAAUUGGAACCCCAGGAAAAGCUGACAUACUUAGUACCAAGGCGUUGCAGCUGUCUUUGGUUGAAAUUCAGAAAGUGUGGCUGCUUCUCUGGGACCCUCAACUACACCCUGUGCCAUCCCACAGUCAGAGAACAGAACUGGUUUGCCGCAUGCUAUGAGAAGACGAUGGGGUACCUGAUGGGGGCAACAGACUCCGUGACUCCCGAUGCUGUGCUCUGGUGGUUGGGCAUGAACUCAGCAAGCGAGCUGGGCAAACUGUGGAAGAAGCUGUGGAAGGUGAUUCCCAGACCCUCGGUGAGACAUUUUGAGCUCUACUGUGGGACUUGUAUGCUGGGGGGGAACUUGAAGAUCCUGCGGGCCUCCAGCCUCGGGAACGUCACUCAACAUGGCACGGUCUUCAGGUGGGCGCUGAGGAGCAGGCAGAGAGCAGGAAGGUCCAGGCCCGUCCCCAGAGUUCUGUCAGUUCCUGCUCUCCUUCCCAGGAUGAACCAGGCCCCUGUUCAGGGAUUCAAGAUGGUAGGGAACCAAACCAUGGGACUCUUCACGUGCCGCAGGAAGGCUAGGGUCCAGGGUUCCUGGAGACAGCUGCUGCUACUUCUGCUGAACCUUUCCAGUCUGGCAUGGACUUCAGAUGCUCUGAGCGAAGAGGUGAUGGUCUGGGAACCCAGACAUUCUUAGUAUGGGAGUGAGAGGAGGUCACUGCAAAGACAGAGGGGGCUCCAGGGAGACCCUCUGCUGGCCUAUUGGGGCACCUGUAGGACCUUCCCAGGUCUCAGGGGCUGCUGAAACACCCCCAAUUCGUUCUUAGAUUUCAGAAGAUGAUCCACUUCCCUCGUGGAAUGGAAGAUAGCAAAGACCAGAACGAACCAGGCCCUCCUUCUAGGCUCUGAGAACGUAGCCGGCAGACCUCCCUGCACAUACGUAACACACCUGAGAAUGCCACGACCCAGCAAGAACACCCACAUGCCGCUGGCAUCAUUGAAGCCUCCAGAUGUAGGAUGGGUAGCAAUGGUCCUGAGCCAAGGUGGAAAAGGGCAUCUUCCAUCAGGUCGUGUGACUGGUGGAGGCCCCAGGCCUGGAGGGGAGCAGACAGCCCUUGGGCUUUUGGUGUAAAUGCUCUUGCCCUCACUCUGCAGCCCGGGAUUGGACACUGCCCUCGUCCCCAACACACACCACCAGCUUUUCCUUCUCUACUUUGGGAUGCGUAGCUGCUCUGCCUUCCAGCUACUGCCUGUCCCAUGUGGGGAAGUAAGUGAGCAAAGGUAAUUAGGUUGUGAUGUGGUGGUUAUGCCUCCAACACACAAAGCGUGGAAGCUUAUUGGAAGAACAGGGUGACGCACCCACCAGACCCAGGCACUCCCUGGAAAUGACACUGUCCAGACACUGACUCAACUCUUGUCCCUUUCUGCUCUCAGGACUUUUUGGCCUGUACCAGCCUCUAUCAAAACAGUUAAGGAGAAGGUCGGAGGAAGAGGGGAAGUUUUGAGAAAGGAGAAGACCUCUGCACUCAACUCUGACCUUUUUGCCCCCCAGGUUCUGGUCAAUCACACUAUUCAUGAGAUCAUCCAGCAGGCACAUCCACAAGAACUGGCUGGGUGGUCAGAGGCAUUUCCCAUCUCCCAGAUUUGUUGCUCUGUUGCAUGUGAUAAGGGAAGGAAGGGAAGCUCUGCCUGAUGCCCUUAGGCAGGGUUGGGUCCUGCCUGGAAGACUUUCCUUUAUGCUUCUCCACUUCAGGUCUCUCUCUUUGGAUUUGGAGCUGGAGAAGAGCAGUUGGCCAGAGAUGAGCAAUUGGCACCAUUACUGGUGGAACCUACUACACAGACGAUCCUACUAUUUGUCAAGGAAAGUGUGUAUUAGAAAGUCGGAGUAGAAAAUCACCCACAAGCUGUAGUGUGAGAGCAAGAUCACAGUCUACUUGAACUGAAGGCCAACCCUACCCUGAAUAUCUGAUGGUGAAGGGGGACCCUAGCCUGAGGUCUAGGGUGGGGGUGGGGGGCUAAUGAAGGUUGGAUGGGGAGGGAAGAGCAAAUAGGGAUUAGUUUAUUAUUGAAUAAAGACCUUGCUUGGCAGCUUCCAAAAGGCCUUUCAUCUGCUGGAAGCAUCUGUUGCUGAGUCCCAUUCAUGGGUUUUUGGAAUAAAGCUCUAGCAGAUGUGAACAGCCAGCCCCAUUUCCACUCUGUGUGGUGUGACAGGAUAUACUGGGGACUAAGCUCUGAGUAAGCAGGUCUGCAUGAGUGGGGUGCUGCUUUCAAACCCCCACAUUAUUAGCUGGACCUUGCCUCUGGCCCCAGGCUUAGGUAAGAAGAAUUCCAGAUUAUGGUUGGAGUGCCAGAGGAAAGUCAUGCCCUGCUUCUUUAAAGAAAACUUUUCUCUCUUAGGUUUGGAAGAAGUUGCCAAUAGGUCUUAAUGAAGCCUGUGAACUAGGUUCAAUCCAGACUGCCUCCAGCAGGACCAGUCCAUAAGUGACAAGUCCUGCCACUGUCCAUCCUCCUUACUGGUUUGAUACGUGGUUGGACUACAGGGGACCUGAGUUGGUUCCAGCUGAUAUGCCCCGGAAGGGAUACCCCAAAGAUAUUCACCCAGAGCAGAAGGGGAAUGAGGCCAGACUGAGUUGAAUUUUAGAGACUGACUUUAGCCAAAGAUCAACUCAGUGUUUUUGAAGCUCCAGAAUGUGUUUCCAGUCAGGAACAUAUGAUGGGUCCUCAUUAUCCAUGAGUUCAAAUCUAGAUCCCAAGGCCCUCCAUCAUCUUGCUCCCUACCCAUCCAACCUCAGUCCCACCACUCUGCCAAAGACCAGUCUUCUCACCAAUAUGCUUAGCAACCCCUCCCAACGCCUCUCCAUCCUUCAAGCGCCAGUUCGUGACUUCCUUCCUCAGCCCCUGGAAUUUCUACAGCACUUAUACUCAGCACACAAUCUGACUCGUUGGUGAGUCUCCGUCUGUUCUUAGCAGCUGGAUUCCGGCUCCCAGUGGACAGUGGCUGUGGGGACAGAGCCAGGAGUGGUUUCCAGGCUGUCGCCCUCACGUGGUGCUCAUUCGGGUAGUAAAUAGCCAUCAACUGUGAUUGGAUGGCCGUCAGUUGUAACCAGUGAGCCAAUAGCCACUAAUAUAACUGCUGUGGCUACGCUAGCAGCAAAUGGGGGCGAGCAAGGAGAUGGUGGCUGAGCUAGCAGGUGGUGGAGUGCAGAUUGUGGAUUGCGAAUUGCAGAGAGGCGGAUUGCAGUUAGCAAGUGAGGUUGGUUGGCAGAGAAGCAGA